GCAAGUCGAGCGAGAAGGUUGUUAUUGAUUCUUCGGAAGAUUUAAUAACUGGACAGCGGCGGACGGGUGAGUAACGCGUGGGUAACCUACCUUGUACUGGGGGAUAACAUUCUGAAAAGAAUGCUAAUACCGCAUAAGCUUACAGUAUCGCAUGAUACAGUGAGAAAAACUCCGGUGGUACAAGAUGGACCCGCGUCUGAUUAGCUAGUUGGUGAGAUAAAAGCUCACCAAGGCAACGAUCAGUAGCCGGCCUGAGAGGGUGAUC
rnacentral:rRNA from 1 species